rnacentral:rRNA from 1 species
AUGAACUUUUCCCCAAUAAACCCCUUCUUCCAUCAAGACAGACAGACAGUUCCGUGGGCACCAGAACCACCCCUUCCGUUCAGACGCGGCGGAAGAUCGAAUCGGCCGCGCACGCCGAUGGCUCCUCCGCCGCCGCCGCUUCCUCUCCUCCUCCUUCCCCUCCUCCUGCUGGCGGCCUUCUCCGCCGCCGAGGAGUUUCCGCGCGACGGGAAGGUGAUAGACCUGGACGACAGCAACUUCGAGGCGGCCCUCAGCUCCAUCGAUUUCCUCUUCGUCGACUUCUACGCGCCAUGGUGCGGCCACUGCAAGCGCCUCGCUCCCGAGUUAGAUGAAGCUGCACCGGUGUUGGCGGGAUUGAGUGAGCCCAUCAUGGUUGCCAAAGUAAAUGCUGACAAGUACAGGAAGCUUGGAUCAAAAUAUGGAGUGGAUGGGUUCCCUACUCUAAUGCUCUUUAUACACGGGGUCCCUAUUGAAUACACCGGUUCAAGGAAAGCUGACUUGCUUGUCCGCAAUCUUAAGAAGUUUGUUGCGCCUGAUGUUUCUACUCUCGAGUCGGAUUCUGCAAUCAAGAGCUUUGUUGAGAAUGCCGGCACAAGCUUUCCGAUGUUCAUCGGUUUUGGGGUCAAUGAUUCACUGAUUGCUGAAUAUGGAGGAAAAUACAAGAAAAGAGCAUGGUUUGCCGUCGCAAAAGAUUUUUCUGAGGACUGGAUGGCGACAUAUGAUUUUAAUAAGAUCCCAGCAUUGGUUGCAGUUCAUCCAAAGUAUAAUGAACAAAGUGUGUUCUAUGGCCCAUUUGAAGGACGUUUCUUGGAAGAUUUUAUAAGGCAAUCGCUGCUGCCUUUGACUGUCCCCAUCAACACCGAGACACUGAAAUUGCUGGAUGAUGAUGACAGAAAAGUUGUCCUCGCAAUUUUGGAGGAUGACUCAGAUGCAAAUUCUACGCACCUGGUAAAAGUUUUGAGGUCUUUUGCUCAUGCGAACCGUGAUUUGGUGUUUGGAUAUGUUGGAGUCAAACAAUGGGAGGAGUUUGUGGAGACUUUUGAUGUUUCCAAGAGCUCACAAUUGCCAAAGCUGCUAGUGUGGGACAGAAAUGAAGAGUAUGAACUAGUGGAGGGUUCAGAAAAGUUAGAAGAAGGCGACCAAUCAUCCCAAUUAAGCCAAUUCCUCGAGGGAUAUAGAGCAGGGAGAACAAUAAAGAAGAAAGUCAGUGGGCCUUCCUUCAUGGGUUUCAUGCACUCUCUUGUCAGCAUGAACUCGUUAUACAUUCUCAUGUUUGUUGUUGCUCUUCUCGGUGUCAUGAUGUACUUUGCUGGCCAAGAUGAUACUCCUCAGCCAAGACGGGUUCAUGACGAGUGA